rnacentral:rRNA from 1 species
AUUGAACGCUGGCGGCAGGCCUAACACAUGCAAGUCGAGCGGAGCGGCGGACGGGUGAGUAAUGCCUAGGAAUCUGCCUGGUAGUGGGGGAUAACGUCCGGUAACGGGCGCUAAUACCGCAUACUAUCAGAUGAGCCUAGGUCGGAUUAGCUAGUUGGUGGGGUAAAGGCCUACCAAGGCGACGACCCGUAACUGGUCUGAGAGGAUGAUCAGUCACACUGGAACUGAGACACGGUCCAGACUCGUACGGAAGGCAGCAGUGGGGAAUAUGGGACAAUGGGCGGAAGCCUGGUCCAGCGAUGCCGCGUGUGGGAAGAAGGUCUUCGGGUUGUAAAGCAAUUUAAGUUGGGAGGCGGUACCAACAGAAGAAGCACCGGCUAACUUCGUGCCAGCAGCCGCGGUAAUUC